UGGGAAUUCGAAGAGGCCAAACGGUGU
rnacentral:sRNA from 1 species